AACGUACGCUGGCGGCACGCCUAACACAUGCAAGUCGAACGCAGUAGCAAUACUGAGUGGCAGACGGGUGAGUAUAAUGUGGGAAUCUGCCUUUUGGUUCGGAAUAACACGAGGAAACUUGUGCUAAUACCGGAUAAGCCUUUACAGGGAAAGUUUUAAUGCCAAAAGAUGAGCCCGCACUUGAUUAGCUAGUUGGUAAGGUAAUGGCUUACCAAGGCAACGAUCAAUAGCUGUUCUUAGAGGAAGACCAGCCACAUUGGGACUGAGACACGGCCCAAACUCCUACGGGAGGCAGCAGUGGGGAAUCUUGCACAAUGGGGGCAACCCUGAUGCAGCGAUGCCGCGUGAGUGAAGAAGGCCUUUGGGUUGUAAAACUCUUUCGUCGGGGAAGAAAAUGACUGUACCCGAAUAAGAAGGUCCGGCUAACUUCGUGCCAGCAGCCGCGGUAAUACGAAGGGACCUAGCGUAGUUCGGAAUUACUGGGCUUAAAGAGUUCGUAGGUGGUUAGAAAAGUUGAUGGUGAAAUCCCAAGGCUCAACCUUGGAACUGCCAUCAAAACUUUUUAGCUAGAGUAUGAUAGAGGAAAGUGGAAUUUCUAGUGUAGAGGUGAAAUUCGUAGAUAUUAGAAAGAACAUCAAAAGCGAAGGCAACUUUCUGGAUCAUUACUGACACUGAGGAACGAAAGCAUGGGUAGCGAAGAGGAUUAGAUACCCUCGUAGUCCAUGCCGUAAACGAUGUGUGCUAGACGUUGGAAACUUAGUUUUCAGUGUCGCAGAGAAAUCAUUAAGCACACCGCCUGGGGAGUACGACCGCAAGGUUAAAACUCAAAUGAAUUGACGGGGACCCGCACAAGUAGUGGAGCAUGUGGUUUAAUUCGAAGAUACGCGCAGAACCUUACCAACACUUGACAUGUUCGUCGCGACUCUAAGAGAUUAGAGU
rnacentral:rRNA from 1 species